rnacentral:rRNA from 1 species
UCGAACGCCCUGGCUUGCCAGGGAGUGGCGCACGGGUGAGUAGCGCGUGGGAACCUGCCCAGUCGUGGGGGAUAACCGAGGGAAACUUCGGCUAAUACCGCAUACGCCGGUGGCGACACCGGGAAAGAUUUAUCGCGAUUGGAGGGGCCCGCGUCGGAUUAGCUAGUUGGUGGGGUAACGGCCUACCAAGGCAGUGAUCCGUAGCUGGUCUGAGAGGAUGAUCAGCCACACUGGGACUGAGACACGGCCCAGACUCCUACGGGAGGCAGCAGUGGGGAAUAUUGGACAAUGGGCGCAAGCCUGAUCCAGCAAUGCCGCGUGAGUGAGGAAGGCCUUAGGGUUGUAAAGCUCUUUCACCCACGACGAUGAUGACGGUAGUGGGAGAAGAAGCCCCGGCUAACUUCGUGCCAGCAGCCGCGGUAAUACGAAGGGGGCGAGCGUUGUUCGGAUUUACUGGGCGUAAAGGGCGCGCAGGCGGCGUAUCAAGUCAGGCGUGAAAGCCCCGGGCUUAACCUGGGAAUUGCGUCUGGGACUGGUAUGCUAGAGUUCGGGAGAGGAGAGUGGAAUUCCCAGUGUAGAGGUGAAAUUCGUAGAUAUUGGGAAGAACACCGGUGGCGAAGGCGGCUCUCUGGACCGAGACUGACGCUGAGGCGCGAAAGCGUGGGGAGCAAACAGGAUUAGAUACCCUGGUAGUCCACGCUGUAAACGAUGUGUGCUAGACGUUGGGGAGCCUAGCUCUUCGGUGUCGCAGCUAACGCUUUAAGCACACCGCCUGGGGAGUACGGCCGCAA